CCUACGGGUGGCAGCAGUGGGGGAUAUUGCACAAUGGGGGCAACCCUGAUGCAGCGAAGCCGCGUGUGGGAAGACGGUCCUCUGGAUUGUAAACUACUGUCAUCAGGGACGAAACUGACGGUACCGGGGGAGGAAGCUCCGGCUAUUUACGUGACGGAAGCCGCGGUAAUACGUAGGGAGCGAGCGUAGUCGGGAUUAACGGGGUGUAAGGGGAGGGUGGGGGGGUAUGAAGGGAGGUGGGAAAGACUGCGGGCUAAACUGGGAAUCGCACUCAAUACUGGAAGUCUUGAGUGAAGUAGAGGCAGGCGGAAUUCCUAGUGUAGCGGUGAAAUGCGUAGAGAUCAGGAGGAACACCGGUGGCGAAGGCGGCCUGCUGGGCUUUUACUGACGCUGAGGCUCGAAAGUGUGGGGAGCAAACAGGAUUAGAUACCCGAGUAGUC
rnacentral:rRNA from 1 species